rnacentral:rRNA from 1 species
CUACGGGAGGCAGCAGUGGGGAAUCUUGCGCAAUGGGCGAAAGCCUGACGCAGCAACGCUGCGUGCGGGAUGAAGGCUCUCGGGUCGUAAACCGCUUUCAGUAGGGACGAAACUGACUGUACCUACAGAAGAAGCCCCGGCUAAAUACGUGCCAGCAGCCGCGGUAAUACGUAUGGGGCAAGCGUUAUCCGGAUUCAUUGGGCGCAAAGAGCGCGUAGGCGGCUUGUUAAGUCAGGUGUGAAAACUGGGGGCUCAACCCGCAGCGUGCAUCUGAAACUGGCAGGCUUGAGUCUGGUAGAGGAAAGUGGAAUUCCCAGUGUAGCGGUGAAAUGCGCAGAUAUUGGGAGGAACACCAGUGGCGAAGGCGGCUUUCUGGGCCACGACUGACGCUGAGGCGCGAAAGCUAGGGGAGCAAACAGGCUUAGAUACCCCGGUAGC